UACGUAGGUGGCAAGCGUUGUCCGGAUUUACUGGGCGUAAAGAGCGCGCAGGCGGUCGUUCAAGUCGCGUGUGAAAGCCCCCGGCUCAACUGGGGAGGGUCACGCGAUACUGAUCGACUCGAAGGCAGGAGAGGGUAGUGGAAUUCCCGGUGUAGUGGUGAAAUGCGCAGAUAUCAGGAGGAACACCGAUGGCGAAGGCAGGUCUCUGGGCAUUAACUGACGCUGAGGAGCGAAAGCAUGGGGAGCAAACAGG
rnacentral:rRNA from 1 species